rnacentral:lncRNA from 1 species
UCAUGACCGAGAAGCAAGUUGGGGAGGAAAGGGUUUAUUCAGCUUACACUUCCACAUUGCUGUUCAUCACCAAAGGAAGUCAGGACUGGAACUCAAGCAGGUCAGGAAGCAGGAGCUGAAGCAGAAGCCAUGGAGGGAUGUUCUUUACUGGCUUGCUUCCCCUGGCUUGCUCAGCUUGCUCUCUUAUAGAACCAAGACUACCAGCCCAGAGAUGGCACCACCCUCAAGGCGACCUCCCUCCUUGAUCACUAAUUGAGAAAAUGCCUUACAGUUGGAUCUCAUGGAGGCAUUUCCCCGACUGAAGCUCCUUUCUCUGUGAUGACUCCAGCUGUGUCAAGUUGACACACAACUAGCCAAUACAGAGGCUGAGACAGGAGGAUGUCAGUUUAGGGUUCACAAGCUGUACUCAGUCAGCCAGGACUGCAUACCCAGACCCUGUCACAAACAAACAACCUCAAGAAGGCUAAGAAGAAAAGUACCAAGAAACUCUCUAUACUUAAGAAAAGUACAUGCAUAUUGAUAGCUGAAAGAGACUAGUCUGAGGGACACACGCCCUUCUGGAACUGUAACACUUUGGAGAGAGCAGAAUUCUCAGAGGACAGUCAGGCCAGUUACAUGACUGUGGGACAGAUGCUAGGGUGGGGUGUACAUGCAACACUGAGAGAUCUUCAACCCCUGCUCUGGGUAAUAACGAUGUCACAAUGACUUUGUUUGGUGGGGGUUGUUGGUAAUAAGAGAGGUUCUGUGUAUGUAGGCCUAUGGGAAGUCUUUGAACCUUUAGUUCAAAUUUGCAAACAAACAAAAAAAAACAAGACACCCUAAAAAGUCAAAAGCAGAAGAAAGAAGGAGGAAGAAGAGGAAUAAGGAAGCGCAAGGGGAGAAAGGUAAGGAGGAAGAAAAGAAGGCAGAAGACACAAGGCUGGCUAACCAGAUGAGUAGAAUGACGCCUCUGGUGGUUCCAAAGCCGUGUGACUGCUGGCAUGCCUGUGGCCUACUUCUGCUUGAGGAGCCGAUAUUGGAAGCAUAGUCAGCACUGUGGAAGUAGUGAGGGUGGUGCUCAUCAGUCACGUGUUGGGGGUGCUGUUCAUCAGUCAAGUGUUGGGGGUGGUGCUCAUCAGUCACGUGUUGGGGGCGGUGCUCAUCAGUCACGUGUUGGGGGUGGUACUCAUCAGUCACGUGUUGGGGGCGGUGCUCAUCAGUCACGUGUUGGGGGUGGUGCUCAUCAGUCACGUGUUGGGGUGAUGUUCAUCAGUCACGUGUUGGGGUGGUGCUUAUCAGUUACAUGUUGGGUACUGACUCUGGACUCAGUUGCCACUAUGACCUUUUCACCUACUUCCUUGUUUAAUGCUAACAAUCAAAGGAAUCUAGGAAACAAUCCAUUCUUCAGCUGAGAAAUCUAAGACUUUCAGAUUUGCUGUUCCUCAAAUGUGUGACUCUGAGCAAUGAAUUUCCAUCCCUCAAGCCCGCCUUCAGAUGCUCUGCUAUCUCAUUGCUGUAGCUGUCGAUGUGAUGAAGUGGGAAGAUCAAUACAAGAACUCAGCCCUUACUGAACUCAAUACACUUAUCUGCCAAUACUGUAAUCAUUGCCUUCCACACGCCCCUGUGUGAAUUAUUUACAUAUGGUAGGAAGAAACCAAAAAGUUAAAUGGUCAAUUAGACUC